UACGUAGGGGGCAAGCGUUGUCCGGAAUUAUUGGGCGUAAAGGGCGCGUAGGCGGCCGAUCAAGUCAGGCGUGAAAUUCCCGGGCUCAACCUGGGAGCUGCGCUUGAUACUGAUUGGCUUGAAUGCGGGAGAGGAUAGUGGAAUUCCCAGUGUAGAGGUGAAAUUCGUAGAUAUUGGGAAGAACACCGAUGGCGAAGGCGGCUAUCUGGCCCGUAAUUGACGCUGAGGCGCGAAAGCGUGGGGAGCAAACAGG
rnacentral:rRNA from 1 species